rnacentral:rRNA from 1 species
GACGAACGCUGGCGGCGUGCCUAAUACAUGCAAGUUGAGCGCUGAAGGCUGGUACUUGUACCAACUGGAUGAGCAGCGAACGGGUGAGUAACGCGUGGGGAAUCUGCCUUUGAGCGGGGGACAACAUUUGGAAACGAAUGCUAAUACCGCAUAAAAACUUUAAACACAAGUUUUAAGUUUGAAAGAUGCAAUUGCAUCACUCAAAGAUGAUCCCGCGUUGUAUUAGCUAGUUGGUGAGGUAAAGGCUCACCAAGGCGAUGAUACAUAGCCGACCUGAGAGGAUGAUCGGCCACAGUGGGACUGAGACACGGCCCAAACGCCUACAGGAGGCAGCAGUAGGGAAUCUUCGGCAAUGGGCGAAAGUCUGACCGAGCAACGCCGCGUGAGUGAAGAAGGAUUUCGGAUCGUAAAACUCUGUUGGUAGGGAAGAACGUUGGUGAGAGUGGAAAGCUCAUCAAGUGACGGUAACUACCCAGAAAGGGACGGCUAACUACGUG